GCCGUGGUGGCGGAAUUGGUAUACGCGCUGGACUUAAAAUCCAGUGGCCUUAACAGCCUUAAGGGUUCGAGUCCCUUCCGCGGCA
rnacentral:tRNA from 1 species